CCUACGGGAGGCAGCAGUGGGGAAUAUUGCACAAUGGGGGAAACCCUGAUGCAGCGACGCCGCGUGAGUGAGGAAGUAUUUCGGUAUGUAAAGCUCUAUCAGCAGGGAAGAAACUGACGGUACCUGACUACGAAGCCCCGGCUAACUACGUGCCAGCAGCCGCGGUAAUCCGUAGGGGGCAAGCGUUAUCCGGAUUUACUGGGUGUAAAGGGGGCGUAGACGGCUAAGCAAGUCAGAAGUGAAAACCCAGGGCUUAACCUUGGGACUGCUUUUGAAACUGAGUAGCUAGAGUGCAGGAGAGGUAAGCGGAAUGCGUAGUGUAGCGGUGAAAUGCGUAGAUAUUAGGAGGAACACCAGUGGCGAAGGCGGCUUACUGGACUGUAACUGACGUUGAGGCUCGAAAGCGUGGGGAGCAAACAGGAUUAGAUACCCUUGUAGUC
rnacentral:rRNA from 1 species